AAUUAAACUUAGGAGAAAACCAGCGUUUCGGACUUGGCAUAUGUUAAACUACCUGAUUUAGCCAUAGGGGCCGUUGUAUUAUUUUAUACUAUUGCAGUAUCCUCAUAGUGAGUAUUUCAGGUAAUUUAGUUUUCAGUUACGCUCGCGCUGGGAUGCCGAGUGUAUUUUUACAGUAGCGUUCAGGCUGUUCCGGACUGUUGAGUGCCGUCGGAGUUGACGGUAGACUCGUAUCGCCUUUUGGCGUCAGAUUAUGCUGAGGGCACGUUACUUGUUGAUUGUUAGACCAGUUAGAGUCGAUUUCUUGACUUUGGCUUUUCAGAACCUGUUUGAGCUCGACAGAGAUACGCUGCAUACUCGGUUGGGUAGCGCCCACGAGUGCCACUCCGGAGUCAGGCUUGUGCUUUCGCGUUGGUGUCGCUCAUGCCAGUUGGACUUGCUCUCCACGGACCAGUUAGUGUGGAUAGAGCCUGAUAGUCGCAACGGGGCAGGGACGAGUGUAUUCACAGUCCCGGGGACGGGUAUGCUUACAGUCCCGAUUGGAUUGGGUCAGAUUUGACAUUUAUUACAGUUGGUUAGUGUAGAGCAUGAUAGUGUAGUGAUCGAUAGCGGUAGAGUUUAUUUCCUGCUUUUCUGACUACUCUUGCUCCCUUCUGUAGACUUAGUGGGUGGACCGAUGUUGUUUUGGGCG
rnacentral:lncRNA from 1 species